GCAGGAGCGGCCCUGGCUGGCGUGUUGGAGCCGCAGCGGCCGGGUGUCCGGGCAAGGGCAGUGAAUUACGGCACCGGCCGCCAUGUGGCCGGGAGGAGAAAUGCAAACAAGGAAACGGGGAAAGGGGAAGGGGCGCUGCUGCAGUUUUCAACAUCCAAAAUCAUCACAAAAGAGGAAGAGUGAAUGGAGGAUGCAUGGGAGAUUUUUAAGGUCCAGCCUGGAAAUGGCAUGCACUUCGCUUUGAUUCCAUCACUCAGAACUCAAUCCCAAGGCAUCAAUUCAACUGCAAGGACACCGGGAACUGUCCAAGUUCAAAUUUCGUAGUUCAUGUGCCAGAAGAGCCCCUGUUGGUGAGCAUCACUGGUCUCUGACUCAGGCAGGGAGAAUGGCCGUCUGUCUUGAGUCAGGGGACAGUAGUGUCUGUCUUGGGUUGGCAUGGGGGUGCACUUUCUGAAGGCAGUCUGGGUAGGAGACUGGUGUGGGAGACACGUAUGUGUGGCGCACACUGUGUGCUCUGUAGCUCCAUGAGCCUUGCAUUCUGUCCAUUCUUGUGGGCUUUCUCCAGACAACAUCUUAAUUAUCCCACACUUUACCAGUGAAAUAGCCUCAUGGAUGCUUUCUCUUCUACAAGUUUCUUUUCCUAUGAAAUCUAACUGAAUAUCACAGUCUAAAUAAUCUCCCUAAGACACCAUUUAUGUAAUGCUACUCCUGCUAAAAAAAAUCACAAUUUUUAACAGCAAUAAUACAUUUAUUGAGUUA